GUUGUGUUAAAUUUUAAGUUUGGGGUAACCCCAUAAGUAUCUGAAAGUAAGGUGAGUGCGGAAAAAAACAAUUAAGAAAAAUGACCAUCGAAAAAAAAAGAGAAAAAAAAAGAAAAAAAAAUCGUUCGACGGUACGAGAAAAGCACUCACCGAAUGAGAAACAGUUGAAAAAAAGAGAGAAGAGAAAAUCAAAGAAAAAAGAGAACUGAGCAAUACAA
rnacentral:lncRNA from 1 species